GCAGCAAACGCAAUAAGUAGUCCACNUGGGGAGUACGUUCGCAAGAAUGAAACUCAAAGGAAUUGANGGGGACCCGCACAAGCGGUGGAGCAUGUGGUUUAAUUCGAAGCAACGNGAAGAACUUUACCUGCUCUUGACAUCCCGGUGACCGGCNUGUAAUGAUGCNUUUUCUUCGGAACACCGGUGACAGGUGGUGCAUGGUUGUCGUCAGCUCGUGUCGUGAGAUGUUGGGUUAAGUCCCGCAACGAGCGCAACCCUUAUCUUCAGUAGCCAGCAAUUCGGAUGGGCACUAUGGAGAGACUGCCAGGGAUAACNUGGAGGAAGGUGGGGAUGACGUCAAAUCAUCAUGCCCCUUAUGAGCAGGGCUACACACGUGCUACAAGGGGGUAAAC
rnacentral:rRNA from 1 species